AGCCGGGGUUAUAGAGUGAGACUCCAUUAGCCGGGCGUGGUGGUGGGCGCCUGUAGUCCCAGCUACUCGGGAGGCUGAGGCAGGAGAAUGGCGUGAACCUGGGAGGCGGAGCUUGCAGUGNNNNNNNNNNNNNNNNNNNNNNNNNNNNNNNNNNNNNNNNNNNNACUGCACUCCAGCCUGGGCGACAGAGUGAGACUCCGUCUCAAAAUAUUAAAAAAAAAAAAAAAGGUUUGUUUGGUAAAGAGAUAAAGAAUGUUAGUUCUGGAUUCAGAUUGCCUGGAUUUCAGUUCCAGCUCUGCCACUACUACCUGUGAAAUCCUGAGCCAGUUACUCUUCCUCCAAGCCUCAGGUUACUCCUCUGUAGAAUAGGGACAUAGUACCAGUUUCAUAAAGUUGUUGUGAACAUUGCAUGACACAAGGUAUAUGAAACACUCAAAUUAGUACCUGGCACAUGUUGAAAUGUUAUCUACUAUAGUAAUAUACUAAAAAAGUUCACAAGAGGUCUCAUAGGUUUUAUGCAUACAGUAUGUGUGUAUGGUUUAUGCACUUUCACAUAACCCAGUGAUUCUUCAACAGGGUUAUGUUUUUUAACCCCAAGGAGACAUCUGGAAAGGUCCAGAGACAUUAUUGGUUGUCACCACCUGGGGAGAGGUGCUACUUACAUCUAGUGGGUCAGGCCAGGGAUGUUUCUAAACACUCUACAAUGCUCAGGACACCCCGCCCCCUUGCCGAAAACAAAAAAGAAUAAUCAGGACCCAAAAUGUUAAUAGUGCAGAGUUGAGAAACCCUGAUUUAAACAGGGCAUGUGGAAACGUAUUUCAUAGGAUGUAGUCACAAGAUCUAUAUACGCAUAUAUCUUGUGGUCAUGUCAUAGUCCACAUACACACACAUCUAGAACGUACUAUGUCCACACACACACAUCUAGAAUGUACUAUAUACUUACAUACGUAUCAUUAUACAAUGUACCUAGAGUAGCAUCCUGUCAUGUAUGUGUCCCAUAUGCAUUGCUUGUGUCAGUAUCUACAUACAAAAGCCACUCUGACAUACUGGAAAGAAUGCUGAGCCUCAGAAAAGCUAAUGUUAUCUCCAUAUACAUAAUUCCAUUUCAUCCUCACAACUGCAUGAGGACAUGAUAUCAUGCCAACUUUAUGCAAUGACUAUACUAGUUCAAGACUGCACAACUGCUGAUGUAGGUCAACCUCAUAGUACGGACAGGAACUGUGUUUAUCUUACACGCCAACGUAUCUCAAGCAUCCCAAGGGUGUCCAGACUCUCAGUAAACAUUUGUGAAGUGACAGGGUGGGGAGGAGGACCCCGGUCUAACUGCAGCACUGUGCUCGUAACCAGCAGAUCACCAUCUUUUCUCUCUUUUUUUUGAGACGGAGUUUCGCUCUUGUUGCCCAGGCGGGAGUGCACUAGCACUAUCUCGACUCACUGCAACCUCCGCCUCCCGGGUUCAAGCGAUUUUCCUGUCUCAGCCUCCCAAGUAGCUUGGAAUACAGACGCGCGCCACCAAGCCUGGCUAAUUUUUUGUAUUUUUAGUAGAGACGAGGUUUCACCAUGUUGGCCAGAUUGGUCUCGAACUGCUGACCUGAGGUGAUUCGCCCGCCUAAGCCUCUGGGCUGGGAUUACAGGCGUGAGCCACCGCACCCAGCCAGAUCGCUAUCUGAACAGCGAUCGAGUCUCCACUCUCUACGGCCCCUUAGAAGGAACUUCACCUCUCUGAGCCUCGUUGUACCUAUCUGUAAAGUGGGACAGAAACAAAACCAUCCGGACUAGGGUUAGAGACAGGAGUCAAACACAACAAAAGGGGCAAAGUUCUGCAUAGCAGAUAGCUCGGACAAUUCGGAGACCUCGCGGAGCCAGGGAUCCCGCGCCGUCAGCCGAGGUGGAUUAGGACGAGGCCUCUGGUGCAAGCAGAGGUUAACUCGCGGCUGUGCGAAAACCUGCAGCUCAGCCUAAGUGUGGCACCCCAGCGCUAGCAAUCGCCACGACGUCCUUCAGCUCCGACCUCCUCAAAAUUGCGUCCGGAAGAGCAGUGGGUGACCCCUGCCACGCCGCCCAAUCGCUGUGCGCGGUCGUGCGGGCAUGCGUAAAUCGCAGGUCAGCGACGGCGGCCGGGAGGCGGAAGUGGAGGUUGUUGUGGCUCUGAGGGCUGUUGGAGGAGCUGCUGCUGCUGAGGCGGCGGCAACUGCAUUGAGGCGGUGGCGGCGCUGCCGGCCCCGGGCCGCUCGGCCUCUCGGCUCGCCUUCCAGCCUCGCCUGAGCCCGCCGGGGCCCGCGCCGGCCAGCGCCUGCCCUAUGAGUGUGUCACUGGUUGUUAUCCGAUUGGAGCUCGCGGAACACUCGCCUGUCCCCGCCGGCUUCGGCUUCAGCGCCGCGGGUGAGUCCCGCGGCCUCGCCGCAUUC
rnacentral:lncRNA from 1 species